UGGGGAAUAUUGCACAAUGGGCGCAAGCCUGAUGCAGCAACGCCGCGUGAACGAUGAAGGUCUUCGGAUCGUAAAGUUCUGUUGCAGGGGAAGAUAAUGACUGUACCCUGUGAGGAAGCCCCGGCUAACUACGUGCCAGCAGCCGCGGUAAUACGUAGGGGGCUAGCGUUAUCCGGUUUUACUGGGCGUAAAGGGUGCGUAGGUGGUCUUUCAAGUCGGUGGUUAGAGGCUACGGCUCAACCGUAGUUACACUCCGAAACUGGAAGACUUGAGUGCAGGAGGGGAAGGUGGAAUUCCCAGUGUGGCGGUGAAAUGCGUAGAUAUUGGGAGGAACACAAGUAGCGAAGGCGGCUUUCUGGACUGUAACUGACACUGAGGAACGAAAGCAGGGGUAGCAAACAGG
rnacentral:rRNA from 1 species